UGUACAUAUAAAACCCCUUCUCGUUUGUUAAUGGGGAAAGGGACGGAGAGAGCGAGGAGAAAGAGAGCGCGGAGCGAGGGAAGAGAAGGGGAGGGAGUCGAAGGAACAGGACCGGGAGGGGUUGUGGUUGAGAUACUUUUUGUUCAACGGGAUUCUGGAGUAUUGGGAGAUACAAUGUAUAAUCUGGAUGGUGAAUGACUUCAUCACAAGAGGAUUAUUUUGGCAGUAUCCUAACACUUUCAUGGUGUAGAGGUAUAUGCUUCCUGAGUUCCUGUCUUGAUGGUAGUUGGUUCUGAUGAUAAAUUUUGCAACCCAAGGUGUUGUGUCAGAAUACAUGUUUCUGUGCGGACAUAUUGUGAAAAAAUAGACAUUAGAAGGAGCUUUGUAAAUCUCAAAUAUAAAAUCAAACAAAUGUAGCACAUGGAGACAUGGCAAGCAAGAAAGGUGAAGAAAUUAAUUGCAUGAGCAAGCAACAAGCAAGAAUUGUCAGUGUCUAUAUUCUACCGUUUUGAUUGGGCAAGUCAACUUUAGUGUCACUGAUGUAUUUAAUCUUUUUCACGGAGUGCUUUAAACCUGUUCUGCUAUGACUAGAGGUAUUUCUGACAUCGACGGUGGGGCAAGGGGUGAACUUGCUCCAAUUGGUUGUAUUUAUGUUAGCAUGAUGUUGGAAUUGUUGAUGCAUUGAUUUAAAUGCCACCUUUUGUGAACCAUGGACUUUCUUCAUUUAAAAUUUGAUUGUGAUGUUGAAAUUACUUCUGUAUGCUUUCAUACAUAUAAAUUAAGUAGUUGGCAUCUGAAGCCUAUUGGUAUUUUAGUUGAUUUAUGAAGUUAGCCUUCCCUGCAUGUCCCUGGUACCGAAUUCUUGUGAAGUUUGCAUCUAACUUUUUAGAAUGCUUGCAAAGUUUAAAAUAACAAUAACUUCUAUGUUCUCUGUCUUUUAAAUUUAUUUAUUUUUAAUUCAACAUUCUGAUUUCUGUCACCUUGUAAAUACGGGCUUGGAGUGUGAGUUGUACGCUUCUCACCUGAAAAAGAGAUGAGGAUCUUAUUGAGAUUCUUAGUUUUGUGACUUGUCUAUAAAACGGUGCAGAAAUUCGAAAAUUCUUGUGAUUGUAACACUAUUUUUUGGUUAUAUUUUCAUCUCUCUUGAUCUUCAAGUUGCCACAUGGUGGACACAACUAUAGAUUUUCUUAAUCCUUUGUGUUUGGUCAUGGUUAUCUGGUUUUGUUGGUUGUCUACAAGUGUGUUCUCAUUAAGCACUUUCUUGUUGUAGCAGUAAAUCCUAAUCUUUUGUGUUUGGUUAUGGUUAUGUGGAUUUAUUCACUGACUUUCCUGAUCCCUUAGGGCCUCUUUGGGAAAUCGAACAGGAUUGGGCUGGAGAAUUGGGAUUGUUAGCCUGUUCAGCCCAUUUUGUCUAAAGGCCCAUCUUAGUUUUGGCCUAAAUCCCAUCUAUGGUUCUAUAGGACUGCGGAAUAGAAAAACAAGGCACCUGUGGAUGCCUUUUUGUAUUCCCAUAGGAAUUGGACUGGAGAGGGAUUGGGUUGAUAUGGGCCUUACUUAAAUAGAUUAUAUAAUCCAUGAUCUUAUCUGAAAUCCAGCCCAAUUCUACAGAAUUUCCCAAGCAGGCCCUUAGCGGUAGGUUGUAGGUCAUUGGAUUUCAUUGCAGUGGUGUUGAUCUUUUUUUUUUUUUUUUUUUUUAUUUUUAUAUAUAUAUUUUGAAGUAGCACUCUUUGCAUAAUGUGGGUGGGUUACUUUUUCUUUAUAUUCAACCACAAGGACCGUCUUAUGUGCUUGAAUAAACACUUUGUAUGUAAUUUCAUUUAUUUUUAUAUUAUUUAUAGCAUGUUAAUUCAGCUAAGCAGCACCACUGAUUAAUUUAAACUAAAUUGGUUCAACUGCAAGAUCAAGAUUGAUUUUCUUUUAUUUUUUUGCAUGGAAAAUUAGGACGUUUGAAUGUCAUAGGAAGCCGAGCUGAUCUGGUCUAAGAUCAUGUUUCAGUUCUUGAGUUACUAGAAAUUUAGUUAAUCUUUUGGUAACUGUGAGGGUCCUUUUCUUUGGAGAAAGUAUCUGCUCUUCAUGGUGAAAGCGGGAAAGGUUUUUUCUCCCACCCCCAAACCGACUUUUUUUGUCAGGCAGUGUUUGUGUACAGUAACAUGUGUAAGAUUGAAUAAAACAUGACAUAAAGUGGUUGCGUCAUAAUGAUUUUUUGUUUCUUCAUUGCUGUAAAUUUUAUUUAUCUGUUCCGUAUCACUUUGAGAUGCAGUCAGCCUGCACUAUGUCAGUGUCAUUCAAAAUUAAUUGGAGAUGCCAGUGAAAGAAAUGAUUCGGUGAAUCCAUGGUUGAAGGAAAGACAAGAAGGUAGGACACGGAGAGGUAAAUCAUGUAGUGGGAUCCUCUCUCGUGGUCCUCCUCUCGGUGCUGUCCGUACUCCAUCUCUGGAGUUGUCACUUCUCUCUUUCACUUUCCGUCGAUCAAAUGAGUUUUCAGCCAUCCAGAGAAUGGAGAGAGGAGUCAAGGGAGGGAGAGCGAGAGAGACUCAAGAAAGGAGCGAGUACCUGACUGGGAGGUCAAUGCUCUAGUGGUCGUCUCAGCGCUUCCGGUGCAAGUGAACCAAGGUUAAUCCGGGAGCAUAUGCAUGGUGGAGAGCGCGCAACGGGAAUCGGUGAAACACAAGGGGUAGCGUGGCAUGUUAUCCACCGUGGGGUUUGCACGGUCCAAUUGCAUCUGGUGCAUGCAAUACGGAGGGCCAAUUUAGGGUCCUCCAGUUAUAUCCUCUAGUUAUAUUUCCAUUUCUAUAUAAAGUCUGGACAAGAUGUAAAUCCAAGGACCACCCAACUGUUAGAUAUCGGUUUCUUUAAUAUCAAUGCAAAGUAAUGCCUGUAUGCUUGAUUUGGCGAGCAGCAUUGCCAUUCUCCAUCUCAAGGCUUCUGAAGUGCCAUGCUCUAAGCAAAGUAUCACUUAGCAGGUAGAAGUACCACCCUAGGAAAGUGCAACAACGUUUGGAAAGUUAUUAGAUAGUUCAUUCAUACAUAUCUUUAAUUCUAACUUAAUAUUUAGAUAUAUAAUUAAUUAAUAAUAGUUAAUAUAUUUAUCAUGUCAUGGCUCAUUCCCGGUUGACCCACCGAUAGUUGAACGGGUGACACAUAACCUGGGUGCAAUCAGCAGUCCAGGUUUUAAAACAUUGGUUGUUUUUGGCCCAUCGCAGGUUGAAUGUCUAUUUAAUUUAGAUAAAUUCUUUAUGCACCGCUGAUGGUGCAGAAUGCGGUCACUGUUCGUGAUGAUCGAUUUACACAUGAAGUCAAAAAUACGGCAUGACAAAAAAAAAAAAAAAUUUAAGCAUCAUGCGUGAGCUAAUCACCGCCAUCCAUAAUUUUCCACUGUACGUGGUGCACAAAAAAUCUAUCUUUAAUUUAAAAAGCUCCGCAUGCAGGUUUUUUUGACAGAGCAACCUAUUUAUUUAUAAUUAGGAGAAUAAUAAUCAAGAAAGGGGUAUUUAUAUGCUCAAAAUGUUGUUCUUUAUGUUCAUUUAAUCCUGACGGUAAAAUGGAAUCCCGUUUCUGCUGACCUCUCUCUUUCUUUCUUUUCGGCUUGGCGCCUUUUGUCUUUCUCAUGGGAUCUUGUGACUGCUGGGGCCACCAAGGGGCCUACACGCUGUAUAUUAUUGGUGCCAACCAAGCCAGCCAAGUGGGACUUGGCCCAGGAGGCGCUGGAGGAGCUACAUGCUGAUUACAACCAUGUUGUAGAAGAGGUAAAGGAGCUGACAGCUAGCCUCCCUCUUCUCAAGGGAAGAGGAAGAACAAUAAUCCCAUCUCACAUGCUACGUUCGCUCAUGUGAGAUUAUUAUUAUUAUUACUACUACUAUCAUCGUUAUUUUGUUUCUAUUUCACGUGGUGUUGAUUUCAAUGGGGAAGAUUCAGAUGCCAUGUGUUCUUGUGGGGAACUAAGGCGCAAAGUUGUUCCAUUGUUCUUGUUUGUCGAACAUGAUGAUGGAUGAUGGAUGUGUUAGCCGGAUGCCGGAUCCCAGGCAUUGUUAUAUUUCGGUGAUAGGUUUGUUUGGAGAUAUUUUUUAAAAUAUUCUUUUUCAUUC